rnacentral:rRNA from 1 species
UACGUAGGGCGCAAGCGUUGUCCGGAAUUAUUGGGCGUAAAGAGCUCGUAGGCGGUUUGUCGCGUCUGCUGUGAAAACCUAAGGCUCAACCUUGGGCUUGCAGUGGGUACGGGCAGACUAGAGUGCGGUAGGGUGACUGGAAUUCCUGGUGUAGCGGUGAAAUGCGCAGAUAUCAGGAGGAACACCGAUGGCGAAGGCAGGUCUCUGGGCCACUACUGACGCUGGAGAAGCG